rnacentral:misc_RNA from 1 species
AUGAUUUGGCAAUUUCUAACCACACUUUUGGUUCUAUCUGCUACGCCCACACUCUCAUUUACAACUGCGCCCACUGGCACUUCUCCCACAGUUGAUACAUCAGCUGUGAUUGCACCAAACCCGGAGAGCAGCCCUUCACAAUCAACUGACUCACCAAGUACAGCAUCAUCAACAGCGACAGAACAAAUAUUCACGCCAAGUACUUCUGAACCAACAAGUACUACUACAACAGCACCCGGAACUACUGAACUUCCAUUUGAAUGGAAUGUUACCGCACCUCCAUCAGUUGUGUCCAAAUGGUGCAUGAUAAAAUUACAAAAAAACAAUGCACAAUUUACUAUUGAUUUUAUUGAGAAUGCCGAAGAGCCAUAUGAAGAGAGACUCUAUGUGUGCAACUCAAUCGCAAAUCUUUCGAGACAAGGCUGGAAGAUUUGACAAACUAUUGUGGACAACGGGAAUCAGAUGCCUUUAAGGAGUAUGUCGCCAACCGGAGAAAGAUUCACCACUGCGAUCAGUACCUGUAA